UACGUAGGGUGCGAGCGUUAAUCGGAAUUACUGGGCGUAAAGCGUGCGCAGGCGGUUCGUUAAGUUCGUUGUGAAAGCCCCGGGCUCAACCUGGGAACUGCAAUGGAAACUGGCGGGCUUGAGUGUGGCAGAGGGGGGUGGAAUUCCGCGUGUAGCAGUGAAAUGCGUAGAGAUGCGGAGGAACACCGAUGGCGAAGGCAGCCCCCUGGGCCAACACUGACGCUAAGGCACGAAAGCGUGGGGAGCAAACAGG
rnacentral:rRNA from 1 species